rnacentral:lncRNA from 1 species
UAGCAAUGCUACGUGGAAUUGCAUGUCGAAAAUAUUUAAAAAGUCAACCUGCCAUCUCUCCUGCCCUGCUCGUCCAAGUUCCCACUCUAGUUCCAGUACUGGCAGGCUUCACCACUAUAUCCCAGCAGGGUCCUGCUUGGCAUGUUCUCCCAGGUAUCUUCUGAGAGGUUGUUCUCUCUCCACUUCUCAUUCAAGUCUGAAGAUGCUUACAGUCACCUGCAGUACUUCUAAAUCAGAGUUUUGAGAUGGAAGAGGUCACAGCUCCAAUGAUCUCAGCCGAAGAAGAUGAGGAAGAAGACCAGCACAAGUGGUAAGAAUCAGGUACAUUGGGGUGAAGGAAAACACUACCUAAAAUGUCAGAGGUCCUUGAACUUUAUUUAAGAAGAAGCAGUUGUGGGGUAUGUG